UGCAAGUCGAACGAGAAUCUGGAGGUUCAAGUUUUCGGACAAGAACUUUCGGAGGAAAGUGGCGGAAGGGUGAGUACAACAUGGAUAAUCUACCUUCAAGUUGGGUAUAGCUUCCCGAAAGGGGAGAUAAUCCCGAAUGUGGUGAUCCGGCGCCUGUCGGAGAAUCCAAAGGUGGGGACCGCAAGGCCUGCCGCUUGAAGAUGAGUCCGUGCACUAUCAGCUAGUUGGUGAGGUAAUGGCUCACCAAGGCGAUGACGGUUAGCUGGUCUGAGAGGAUGGUCAGCCACACUGGGACUGAGAUACUGCCCAGACUCCUACGGGAGGCCGCAGUCGAGAAUCAUUCGCAAUGGGCGCAAGCCUGACGGUGCGACGUCGCGUGGAGGAUGAAGGUCUUCGGAUUGUAAACUCCUGUCAUGUGGGAUAAAUGGCCAGGGCAUGAAUAGUGCCUUGGAAUGAUAGUACCACAGGAGGAAGGGACGGCUAACUCUGUG
rnacentral:rRNA from 1 species